rnacentral:rRNA from 1 species
GACGAACGCUGGCGGCGUGCUUAACACAUGCAAGUCGAACGGUAAGGCCCUUCGGGGUACACGAGUGGCGAACGGGUGAGUAACACGUGGGUGAUCUGCCCUGCACUUCGGGAUAAGCCUGGGAAACUGGGUCUAAUACCGGAUAGGACUCCGGACUGCAUGGUCUGGGGUGGAAAGCUUUUGCGGUGUGGGAUGGGCCCGCGGCCUAUCAGCUUGUUGGUGGGGUGAUGGCCUACCAAGGCGACGCCGGGUAGCCGGCCUGAGAGGGUGACCGGCCACACUGGGACUGAGAUACGGCCCAGACUCCUACGGGAGGCAGCAGUGGGGAAUAUUGCACAAUGGGCGCAAGCCUGAUGCAGCGACGCCGCGUGAGGGAUGACGGCCUUCGGGUUGUAAACCUCUUUCAGCAUCGACGAAGCGAAAGUGACGGUAGGUGCAGAAGAAGGACCGGCCAACUACGCGCCAGCAGCCGCCGCAG